rnacentral:tRNA from 1 species
GCCCCUGUGGUGGAAUGGUAGACGCGGUAGACUCAAAAUCUAUUGUCCUUCAGGACAUGCUGGUUCAAGUCCGGCCAGGGGCACCA